GCAGCAGUAAAAAUUCAGCCAUAAUUAUAGCCACAUUGGCAGCAAAAUACACUCUUUUUAAAAAGUAUUCACCCACUAAGAUGUUUCCCCCCUGACAAAAGAACACACUAAGAAGAAAUGGUUAUUGAAAAGUAUACAAAAGAGGAUGAUAUUGGACAAGUCACACAGCCGUCCUGUCAAAGGGCAAGACAGUGUCACUCUAUGUAAAGACACAUCUGUUUAUCAAAUUGUUUGUGACUGACUGUCCCUGAGCCAUGCUGGAUUUGAAUGGGUGUGUUUGGGAGCAUAACAUUCAAAACAAGAGCCCGGCCCAAAAUCCUUACUUUGAAUAUAUGAUAAGAUAUGUUUCUCAUACCAAACAUAAUGUGAAAUAAUAAUUUAGUAUACACCGACGAUUGCACAAGCUAUCUGCUCACUAUCACCCACGUUAUCUCCAAUGCAUCUUAAGAGAUUCAGCCAAGAGACCCCCUUUUCCACCUAUUAGUGUUACUCUACCACCACAAUCUUCUUUAUAUUUUGUCCUACAUUCUGUCUUCAUAGUCCAAGCUUCCAGUUGAUAUCCUCUUAUUGGAAAUCUCAUAAAGAUUUUCAGAUAUUUAAUCCAGCAGCUAGAUUAACUGUCUAGCAAUUUACACUCUCUCCAUUCAGAGUGAAAUCAACAAUUAUUGAUGGGAUGUCCCAUUAAAUCUGGUACAGACACAGGUUCACAAUGAACUAUUAUUUCCUUGGUGACCCUCAGUGCUAUAUCCUUUUAGCGUCAUCUGUAAGGUCAUGUAUCUGCGAAGAGAGAACUUGGAUAUGGCCCUUGAACUAAAGUGAGUUUGACACCUCUGGGCUAAAUUUUGACCUUUGACCACAAAUACAACACCCAAUAGGCGGUUUAGGCCUCUGCCUAGGCUUCUAUACAGACCCUAACAGCGUAGCCUGACGUCCACCUCCCCAGAAACAAGCUACUAUGUGCCGGACAUCUGGGAUAGACCAAGCAGUUAAAGUCGUGCUGAGAUCCAAAGAAAUUCAGGAUGAAAUGAGAAAGAACGUGAUUGAGACCUAUCAGUGUGGUAAAGGUUAUGAAGCAUUUUCUAAAGAUUUGGGGCUCGAGUGAAAAUGGAAAUGGAGAAAACAUGGAACACUGGUGAACCUUACCAGGAAUGGCCGGCCGACCAAAAUUACCCCAAAAUAAGCACAGAGACAACUCAUCCAAAAGUUCACAAAAGACCCCACAACAACAUCCAAAGAACUGCAGGCCUUGCUUCAGUUAAGGAUAGUGUUCAUGACCACAAGAAAGAGGCUAGGCUAAAAUGGCCAGACUCGUCUCAGUUUUGCCAGAAAACAUCUUGAUGAUCCCCAAGUCUUUUGGGAAAAACCCUGAAGGAGAACGGCCAGCCAUCGGUUUGUGACCUCAAGCUAAAGUGAACUUGGGUUCUGAGGCAGGACAAUGAUCCAAAGCAUACCAGCAAGUCCACCUCUGAAUGAUUGAAGAAAAACUAAAUGAAGACUUUGGAGUGGCCUAGUCAAAGUCCUGACCUGACUCCUAUUGAGAUGCUGUGGCAUGACCUUAAAAAGGACGUUCAUGCCUGAGAACUCUUCAAUGUGACUGAAUUCUGAUGAUCUAGAGGGACAAUUGUCUCUAGGGUUACAGAGGAAAGAAUAUCCGAGGGAGCAGCAGUUUUCUGGGUAAAAGCACCUUGCUUCUGCUGCUUGUUACAAUAUGAAUGCAGGAGAGCAUUUCUGAAAGGGAAACAUGUCAAAACUGUCAGUUAGGAACUGUUCUUCAGUUAGCAAAGACUCACAAAAAAUACACAAGUUGUGCCUUGUCUGAUGAUUUGCAUUGGGAUUUUGAAACAACAUGAAAGUCAUCCUUCCUUGUAUCAACAGGUUUACCAAAAAAAAAAUAAAAAAUACUGACAUAUAUCGGACCGAUAUUUGCAUUUUGGUAUCGGUAUAGGCCGAUACACGGGUAUGUUCGCCUAUACAUUCACCGGUUUAUUAUAUUUUUCUGACUCUACACUACGACCUGCUUGUGCUCUACAGCUUCUUACCUGUCUAUUUUUUAUUUUGUAUGCAUACCAGCGUUAAGUAUUCUUUGAGUUUAGUAAAUUUUUGUUUUUGGUUAAACGGAGACUUGAAAUUUUGUUAUCGUUGUGUGAUUGUUAUCAUGUAAAUGGAGGGGAGCAUUGUUAUUAUAACAUUUGCCCCUGGUAGAAUAAUGAUUGCUGUUUAAUGUGCCAACACACAAACUGAUUCUGUGUUUUUUUUACUCAUUGUGCAAAUGUAAAUAGCAGGAAGCAAUGAAGUGUGUCAUGGCGUCAGUUUUGCUCCAGGUAUUCAGUACCUCUCAAACAGUGGGUUUUCUUAUCUGCAGCCAUCACAUCUAGAACCUUGCAGAGGAUCUUGCAGUCUCUUUCUGCAAUCACCUCUGCAGCAUGCGAGCAACAUUUUAGCCUCGCAGGUCCUCCGGAGACUCUAGUAAACCCACUGGUGAUUAGACACCACACAGUACAAAUGCAAAACGAAGGACAUGUAAACAAAUAUGCCACAUAAUUUAUGCAAAAGUGCGUUUGAAAGGUUUGAAGGUUUGCUUCCGCUUUGGAAAAAUGAAAAUCACCUUAAAGAAGGCAUGAGCAAGAGACACCUUGUUAUGACGUAGAUCACGUGACCGACAGGACUAUGUUAUGACUACUGUUUCUGUUGGGGUUUUGUGCAAUGCUGUGAUUGGCCCUCAGGAUCCUUUCAAGCUUUGUGUGCGCCGUGUUUCUGAGAUUGUUAUGCCACAGACUUGAAGUAUAAGGAAUCUUACCUGAAAAACAUCAGACAAGUGUAAAUUUUCCAGUAGAAAACACGACGAGGAAGAUGUGCAUUCUUUUGCUCCUGCUUCUCAUCCAUCUUCCUUUUUGUGCGCAAGCACUGAAGAACAUAACAGUAUACGGUGAAUAUGAACUGACGUGGAACAGGGCACAGACCUUCUGCAGGAAGCACCACACUGACCUGGUGACAAUCACCAAUGAAGAAGAGAAUCGGCAGCUUAACGGACGCAGAGGAUGGAUUGGUUUGUACAGAGAGGGCUAUGGUAGUCCAUGGAAGUGGUCCAGAGGAGACGAGAGAGUCAACUUGUCCUUCUGGGCCAAUGGUGAACCAGAGUCAGACAAACACUGUGGCAUUAGGUGGGCCUAUUCACCGGAAUGGUGGAACGUUGACUGUGGUUCUGGACAGUAUUUCAUCUGUUAUGAUGAGACGUUGGUCCUGGUGAAGGAGAAUAAGACGUGGGAGGAGGCGUUGGACCACUGCAGGUCUCUCGGGGGAUUGGACACCUCUACCAACAGGGUCCACCUCUACGACCUGGUGACACUGUCCUCUGAAUUUGACCACAUCUUUGCAAGAAGUGAAGCCCGAGAAGCUACCACCGAUGAGGUGUGGACGGGCCUGCGUUUCCUGGCUGGUGAGUGGCUGUGGGUGAGCGGAGAACAGGUGAUGUACGACAACAUUCAAAGGUGCGAGGCUGACCGGUUCUGUGGUGUCCUGGAGAGGAAGAACACUUCAUUCUUUGGGAUAAGGAGCUGCAACGAGAGAAGAAACUUCUUUUGUCAGAAGAGGCUUUAAACCAGUAGAUACAUGCAGCUAAAUACAUUUACUUGACUAUUUUAGUAGAAGUUAAAGGUGUCUUUGUCUUUCGAUUUUGAAAAAUAGUUCCUUUUUACUGUUAUAUUCUGAAAGUAGACUUCUGUAUAAUACUCCAAAUGUAGACAUGGUUUGGUAUAAUUACCCGUCUAUUAUAAUGAAAACCCUGAUUAAGCCAGUGAUAUGUUGCUUCCCUUACCUAUAUCAUUAUCAUAUUAUAUUAUAAAAGUUUUCAGUGGAGGUCUUUUUCUUCCACUGGAGCAUUAAAGCAUUCAAAAUCCAUUUCAAGCCCAGUUGUUGUAUAACGUUUUUUUUUUUUUUUCUAAUAAAAUAUGACGUCUACUUGACAUUUGCAUGACACUGCUUUGCAACUUGUUGGCACUCCGGAAAGAUGAUUCAGAAGAAGCAAAGCAAAUGUGCAUGUAUCCCUGGCAAGGUCAUUCUACAAGAUUUGCAUAAUCUUGUGACUGGAAGUUAUGGUCUAAAGGCAGUUCUUGCAUGUGUGAUGAGUAUUUAACAGACUUGGCUGAGGAGAAGACUUCCUAAGCUGACCACCUCUUCUCUUGUCUCAAAAAGUGCAAAUUAUCCAGUGGAAAACAUGACAAGGAAGAUGUGCAUUCUUGUGCUCCUGCUUCUCGUCGUUGUUCCUUUGUGUUGCUGACCGUUUCUGUGGUGUCCUGGAGAGGAAGACCACUUCCUUCCUUUGGGACAAGGCGCUGCAAUGAGAGAAGAAACUUCUUUUGUCAGAAGAGGCUUUAAACCAGUAGAUCCAUGCAGCUAAAUACAUUUGAAUCUAAGAUUUGAGGGAUCUGUGCUCCUCUUUCAAUUUUAUGGUAAAUAAGUAUCUACUAUUACAUCUCAUAAAGUAAUAUAUCUCUAUAUACUAUAGGACUGGUGUGGCAUGUGAAAGUAUAUU